rnacentral:rRNA from 1 species
GAUGAACGCUAGCUACAGGCUUAACACAUGCAAGUCGAGGGGCAGCAUAGAAGUUAGCUUGCUAACUUCGGAUGGCGACCGGCGGAUGGGUGAGUAACACGUAUCCAACCUAGCCUUUACAACGGGAUAGGCUUUCGAAAGAAAGAUUAAUACUGUAUGUUCCGUGAUCGCCUCAUGGCGAUUCCGGCAAAGAUUUAUCGGUAAAGGAUGGGGAUGCGUUCCAUUAGGUAGUAGGUGAGGUAACGGCCCACCUAGCCUACGAUGGAUAGGGGUUCUGAGAGGAAGGUCCCCCACAUUGGAACUGAGACACGGUCCAAACUCCUACGGGAGGCAGCAGUGAGGAAUAUUGGUCAAUGGGCGAGAGCCUGAACCAGCCAAGUAGCGUGCAGGAAGACGGCCCUAUGGGUUGUAAACUGCUUUUGAAGGGGAAUAAAGGGGUCUACGUGUAGAUCUUUGCAUGUACCUUUCGAAUAAGGAUCGGCUAACUCCGUG